UACCAGCACCCCGAGUGGUCGGGACGAUUAUUGGGCCUAAAGCAUCCGUAGCCGGUUUUACAAGUCCUCCGUUAAAUCCAGCUGCUUAACAGAUGGGCUGCGGAGGAUACUAUAAGACUAGGAGGCAGGAGAGGCAAGCGGUACUCAGUGGGUAGGGGUAAAAUCCGUUGAUCCAUUGAAGACCACCAGUGGCGAAGGCGUCUUGCCAGAACGCGCUCGACGGUGAGGGAUGAAAGCUGGGGGAGCAAACCGG
rnacentral:rRNA from 1 species